UCUGAGGAUGGGGUAAAAGGCUAAAGACAAAUUGAGAAAUGAGAGUGUAUCUCUCACACAUGGCAUCCCAUCUGCACAAAAUGAGGAUAUGUGAAACAAAAUCAUAAAUGCUAUCAGUGAUGAAAAGCAAUCAUUUUUAUAAUUACUCAGUAAUAAACAUUCAUAUGCUUUCUUGUGGAAGAAUAACCAUGGAGUCAUUGACUGAUGUUGGUCCCUGAACUAGUGUUCUGGAAACUGCACUAAAAUGGUGCCUACUGACUUUAGGGAAUUAACAAUCACUAAAAUGCAGUGACCUGGAAAUAACCAAGGAGACAAAAGAAGGUGUCCUACUACGAUGGCAAGUAAGCAAGUGAACAUGCUAGAGCCAAUGCCAGUGAGCCAGCUGGCCAUGACAGAGAAGACGAGUGAGAAACACUGUGGAGGUGGACAGAGAUGCUUUUAUGAACAAAUUCACAUACUCCUUGCGUCACAUCACUGGGAAGUUUGUUGAAACUUUGAGGUUAACGUCCUGUAGGACAGGGCAGCAGUACCACUUGCUCUAGUCCCCAUCAGAAGCAGAAUCCUGUCAUGAUGAAAAAUGGAUCUAUUUGGGCUUGCAAGGGACUCAAGCUGGCUGGUCAAAAAGCCCCUGCUGGAUAGUCUCCAUGGAGCUGCCGGGCAGAACUGUCAUCUUUCUCAAUGGAAAGACGUUUCUCCCUUGGGAUCCCGUUUUAAAUCACCGAUACUAUCAGCCCAUGAAUCCGGAAACCUGCCCUGGGAUUUUAGACCAGGGGAGGGCUCAUUGUCUAAUUCACAAUGACCUAGGAGGCUGGUUCAUCUGGAUUGGGAGUUAUACUUGUGCUUAGCUCCAGCUGUGGGCCAGCUAAUUUCCUGCAUGUUCUCUCAUUUAAUAUUGUAAUUGGAAUUUGCAGGAUCACUUGAAUCUUACACAAACAUCUGGUUUCUUGUCACCUAGAACCGUCAGGAUUUCCCUGCAACAGUGUGGGGCCUCCUAAGUUGCCUUUUGGUGGGUCCUAUUUCAGGUCUUCGAAGCCUGAAGCCUGUAAGAAGCAGCCUGCCCUCUAGGAUUCAUUGGUCAGCCUGGCUGCUGGGUUCAGAAUUGAUUUCCUGGCUACAGUCACUCCUCUCCCCCCAUCUGCCAGCCACU